rnacentral:rRNA from 1 species
CCUACGGGAGGCAGCAGUAAGGAAUAUUGGACAAUGGCCGCAAGGCUGAUCCAGCCAUCCAGCGUGCAGGAAGAAGGCCCUACGGGUUGUAAACUGCUUUUGUCAGGGAAUAAACCUGUGGAUUUACUCCGCAGCUGAAGGUACCUGAAGAAUAAGCACCGGCUAACUCCGUGCCAGCAGCCGCGGUAAUACGGAGGGUGCGAGCGUUAUCCGGAAUUACUGGGUUUAAAGGGUGCGUAGGCGGCUAUGUAAGUCAGGAGUGAAAGUUUGCGGCUCAACCGUAAAAUUGCUUUUGAUACUGCAUGGCUGGAAUCAGGAUGAGGUUAGCGGAAUGUGGCAUGUAGCGGUGAAAUGCAUAGAUAUGCCAUAGAACACCAAUUGCGAAGGCAGCUGGCUAGACCUGUAUUGACGCUGAGGCACGAAAGCGUGGGGAGCGAACAGGAUUAGAUACCCUGGUAGUCCACGCCCUAAACGAUGCUUACUCGACGUAUGAAGCUAGUCUUUGUGCGUCCAGGGAAACCGUUAAGUAAGCCAACCUGGGGAGCGACGACCGCAAGGUUGAACGUUCAAAUGAAUUGACGG